rnacentral:tRNA from 1 species
GCGGGAGUGGCGGAAUUGGUAGACGCACCAGAUUUAGGUUCUGGCGCCCUCGGUGUAAGAGUUCGAGUCUCUUCUCCCGCACCA